AAGUCGUAACAAGGUUUCCGUAGGUGAACCUGCGGAAGGAUCAUUAUCGAGUUUGUGGCGUCCUCUUGGUUUGAGCUGGCUUGAAAGGGCAAGUGCUCGCCGGAUGUGGCGUUCUUUCUCUAAACCCCCCCCCUCUUUUUUGUGCACAUCCGCGUGGGUCUAAAGGUGGCUUUUAUCCUUUUGGAGAGAAGGCGCUCGAAGGCUCGCGUCUUUUUUAUACACUCUUUUGAAAGGACAACAGAAUGAAAAGUCUUGCGUUUACGCAAAACAUAUACAACUUUCAGCAACGGAUCUCUUGGCUCUC
rnacentral:misc_RNA from 1 species